GAUGAACGCUGGCGGCGUGCUUAACACAUGCAAGUCGAACGAAGCACUUUAUUUGAUUUCCUUCGGGACUGAUUAUUUUGUGACUGAGUGGCGGACGGGUGAGUAACGCGUGGGUAACCUGCCUUGUACAGGGGGAUAACAGUUGGAAACGGCUGCUAAUACCGCAUAAGCGCACAGCAUCGCAUGAUGCAGUGUGAAAAACUCCGGUGGUAUAAGAUGGACCCGCGUUGGAUUAGCUAGUUGGUGAGGUAACGGCCCACCAAGGCGACGAUCCAUAGCCGACAUGAGAGGGUGACCGGCCACAUUGGGACUGAGACACGGACCAAACUCCUACGGGAGGCAGCAGUGGGGAAUAUUGCACAAUGGGCGAAAGCCUGAUGCAGCGACGCCGCGUGAGCGAAGAAGUAUUUCGGUAUGUAAAGCUCUAUCAGCAGGGAAGAUAAUGACGGUACCUGACUAAGAAGCACCGGCUAAAUACGUG
rnacentral:rRNA from 1 species